rnacentral:tRNA from 1 species
GGGGGUGUAGCUUAGCGGCUUAAAGUAGUCGCCUGUCGAGCGAAAGACUGUGGGUAUUGCCUGCGGCAACGCUACCGCGAACAAAUCCCAUCAUCCCCG